UGCAGUCGAGCGGUAGCACAGAGAGCUUGCUCUCGGGUGACGAGCGGCGGACGGGUGAGUAAUGUCUGGGAAACUGCCUGAUGGAGGGGGAUAACUACUGGAAACGGUAGCUAAUACCGCAUAACGUCGCAAGACCAAAGUGGGGGACCUUCGGGCCUCAUGCCAUCAGAUGUGCCCAGAUGGGAUUAGCUGGUAGGUGGGGUAACGGCUCACCUAGGCGACGAUCCCUAGCUGGUCUGAGAGGAUGACCAGCCACACUGGAACUGAGACACGGUCCAGACUCCUACGGGAGGCAGCAGUGGGGAAUAUUGCACAAUGGGCGCAAGCCUGAUGCAGCCAUGCCGCGUGUGUGAAGAAGGCCUUCGGGUUGUAAAGCACUUUCAGCGGGGAGGAAGGCGGUGAGGUUAAUAACCUCAUCGAUUGACGUUACCCGCAGAAGAAGCACCGGCUAACUCCGUGCCAGCAGCCGCGGUAAUACGGAGGGUGCAAGCGUUAAUCGGAAUUACUGGGCGUAAAGCGCACGCAGGCGGUCUGUCAAGUCGGAUGUGAAAUCCCCGGGCUCAACCUGGGAACUGCAUUCGAAACUGGCAGGCUAGAGUCUUGUAGAGGGGGGUAGAAUUCCAGGUGUAGCGGUGAAAUGCGUAGAGAUCUGGAGGAAUACCGGUGGCGAAGGCGGCCCCCUGGACAAAGACUGACGCUCAGGUGCGAAAGCGUGGGGAGCAAACAGGAUUAGAUACCCUGGUAGUCCACGCUGUAAACGAUGUCGAUUUGGAGGUUGUGCCCUUGAGGCGUGGCUUCCGGAGCUAACGCGUUAAAUCGACCGCCUGGGGAGUACGGCCGCAAGGUUAAAACUCAAAUGAAUUGACGGGGGCCCGCACAAGCGGUGGAGCAUGUGGUUUAAUUCGAUGCAACGCGAAGAACCUUACCUGGUCUUGACAUCCACAGAACUUUCCAGAGAUGGAUUGGUGCCUUCGGGAACUGUGAGACAGGUGCUGCAUGGCUGUCGUCAGC
rnacentral:rRNA from 1 species